GACAGAGGUGCCGAGCGUUAGGCGGAAUCACUGGGCUUAAAGCGUGUGUAGGCGGGCGAUCAAGUACCUUGUGAAAUCCCACGGCUCAACCGUGGAACCGCUGGGUAUACUGGUUGUCUUGAGCCGGCUAGGGGCGAGCGGAACAGACGGUGGAGCGGUGAAAUGCGUAGAUAUCGUCUGGAACGCCGAAGGUGAAAACAGCUCGCUGGGGCCGCGCUGACGCUGAGACAGAAAGCCAGGGGAGCGAACGGG
rnacentral:rRNA from 1 species